rnacentral:rRNA from 1 species
AGUGAACGCUGGCGGUAGGCCUAACACAUGCAAGUCGAACGGCAGCACAGUAAGAGCUUGCUCUUACGGGUGGCGAGUGGCGGACGGGUGAGGAAUACAUCGGAAUCUACUUUUUCGUGGGGGAUAACGUAGGGAAACUUACGCUAAUACCGCAUACGACCUACGGGUGAAAGCAGGGGAUCUUCGGACCUUGCGCGAUUGAAUGAGCCGAUGUCGGAUUAGCUAGUUGGCGGGGUAAAGGCCCACCAAGGCGACGAUCCGUAGCUGGUCUGAGAGGAUGAUCCGCCACACUGGGACUGAGACACGGUCCAGACUCCUACGGGAGGCAGCAGUGGGGAAUAUUGGACAAUGGGCGCAAGCCUGAUCCAGCCAUACCGCGUGGGUGAAGAAGGCCUUCGGGUUGUAAAGCCCUUUUGUUGGGAAAGAAAAGCAGCAGGUUAAUACCCCGCUGUUCUGACGGUACCCAAAGAAUAAGCACCGGCUAACUUCGUG